rnacentral:rRNA from 1 species
GCGGAGGAAAAGAAAAUAACAAUGAUUUCCCCAGUAACGGCGAGUGAAGAGGAAAGAGCUCAAAGUUGGAACCUGUUUGGCUUAGCUAAACCGGAUUGUAAACUGUAGAAACGUUUUCCUGACACGCCAGAUUAAUAAGUCCUUUGGAACAGGGCAUCAUAGAGGGUGAGAAUCCCGUCUUUGGUCUGAGCUGUUGUCUUUUGUGAUACGUUUUCAAAGAGUCAGGUUGUUUGGGAAUGCAGCCUAAAUUGGGUGGUAAAUCUCACCUAAAGCUAAAUAUUUGCGAGAGACCGAUAGCGAACAAGUACCGUGAGGGAAAGAUGAAAAGAACUUUGAAAAGAGAGUUAAACAGUAUGUGAAAUUACUAAAAGGGAACCGUUUGGAGCCAGACUGGCUUGAUCGUAAUCAAUCUAGGUUUCGACCUGGGUGCAAUUGCGGUCUAUGCCUGCCAACGACAGUUCUUUCUGAAGGAUAAAACUAAGAGGAAUGUGGCCCUUCGGGGUGUUAUAGCCUUUUAGAUAAUACUUUGGAUGGGACUGAGGAACGCAGUGAAUGCUAUUAUGGCGAGAUUUCAAUGCGCUUUUCUCCUUCAGAUAUAUGAAUUUCUGCUUCGGGUGGUGCAUAUGUCUAAGGAGAGAACUCGUGUUGUUAUUCUUCUAUUCACUUAGGUUGUUGGCUUAAUGACUCUAAAUGAC